rnacentral:lncRNA from 1 species
AGAGUUGACAACGCAGAGGUUGCAAGUUCACAGCGUGGCCUGUCAGAUUCCAAUGAAUCUGUGAAUUCUGCU